CCAAUAGCGUAUAUUAAAGUUGUUGCAGUUAAAAAGCUCGUAGUUGAACUUCGGGGUUUACCCAUUGGUCAGGCUUAAUUGUCUGUACUGGUGAGAUAAAUCUCUACCUUCUGAGGAACUUUUAUGCCAUUUAUUUGGUGUGAUGGGAAAUCAGGACUAUUACUUUGAAAAAAUUAGAGUGUUUAAAGCAGGCUAACGUCUGAAUACAUUAGCAUGGAAUAAUGAAAUAGGACGGACUGAUUCUAUUUCGUUGGUUUCUAGGAUCACCGUAAUGAUUAAUAGGGAUAGUUGGGGGCAUUAGUAUUCAAUUGUCAGAGGUGAAAUUCUUGGAUUUAUUGAAGACUAACUACUGCGAAAGCAUUUGCCAAGGAUGUUUUCAUUAAUCAAGAACGAAAGUUAGGGGAUCGAAGACGAUCAGAUACCGUCGUAGUCUUAACCAUAAACUAUGCCGACUAGGGAUCGGACGAAGUUAAUUUUAUAAUGACGCGUUCGGCACCUUACG
rnacentral:rRNA from 1 species